rnacentral:rRNA from 1 species
CAGCCGCCGCGGGAAUACGAAGGGGGCUAGCGUUGUUCGGAUUAACUGGGCGUAAAGGGCGCGUAGGCGGGUUUUUAAGUCAGAGGUGAAAUCCCAAGGCUCAACCUUGGAACUGCCUUUGAUACUGGAAGUCUUGAGUCCGGGAGAGGUGAGUGGAACUGCGAGUGUAGAGGUGAAAUUCGUAGAUAUUCGCAAGAACACCAGCGGCGAAGGCGGCUCACUGGCCCGGUACUGACGCUGAGGCGCGAAAGCGCGGGGAGCAAACAGGAUUAGAUACCCGUGUAGUCCCUGUCUCUUAUAC